rnacentral:rRNA from 1 species
CCUACGGGCGGCAGCAGUGAGGAAUAUUGGUCAAUGGCCGGAAGGCUGAACCAGCCAUGCCGCGUGAAGGUCAGUGCCCUAUGGGCGUUAAACUUCUUUUGUGCGGGAGCAAUAAUGGUCACGUGUGGCCAGACGAGAGUACCGUACGAAUAAGCAUCGGCUAACUCCGUGCCAGCAGCCGCGGUAAUACGGGGGAUGCAAGCGGUAUCCGGAUUUAUUGGGUUUAAAGGGUGCGUAGGCUGUGAGGUAAGUCAGCGGGGAAAUGCCCCCGCUCAACGGGGUGAAGUGCCAUUGAUACUGCCUUGCUGGAAUGCGGAUGCCGUGGGAGGAAUGUGUGGUGUAGCGGUGAAAUGCAUAGAUAACACACAGAACACCGAUUGCGAAGGCAUCUCACGAAUCCGCGAUUGACGCUGAUGCACGAAAGCGUGGGUAUCAAACAGGAUUAGACCCCUGUAGUC